UACAGAGGUCUCAACCGUUGUUCGGAUUUAUUGGGCGUAAAGGGUGCGUAGGUGGUCGUGUAAGUCGGAUGUGAAAUCCUAGGGCUCAACCCUGGAACUGCAUUCGAUACUGCAUGGCUUGAGCGCUGGAAAGGAGACUGGAAUUUACGGUGUAGCAGUGAAAUGCGUAGAUAUCGUAAGGAAGACCAGUGGCGAAAGCGAGUCUCUGGACAGAUGCUGACACUGAGGCACGAAGGCCAGGGGAGCAAACGGG
rnacentral:rRNA from 1 species